UACAGAGGUGGCAAGCGUUGUUCGGAAUUACUGGGCGUAAAGGGCGAGUAGGCGGCCUCCUAAGUCAGACGUGAAAUCCCCCGGCUUAACCUGGGAACUGCGUCUGAUACUGGGAAGCUUGAGUAUGGGAGAGGAAGGUAGAAUUCCAGGUGUAGCGGUGAAAUGCGUAGAUAUCGGCAGGAACACCCAAGGGGAAGCCAGCUGACUGGCCCGGUACUGACACUCAGGGACGACAGCGUGGGGAGCGAACCGG
rnacentral:rRNA from 1 species